rnacentral:rRNA from 1 species
GAUCAUGGCUCAGGAUGAACGCUGGCGGCGUGCUUAACACAUGCAAGUCGAGCGAAGCACUUAGGAAAGAUUCUUCGGAUGAUUUCCUAUUUGACUGAGCGGCGGACGGGUGAGUAACGCGUGGGUAACCUGCCUCAUACAGGGGGAUAACAGUUAGAAAUGACUGCUAAUACCGCAUAAGACCACAGCACUGCAUGGUGCAGGGGUAAAAACUACCGGUGGUAUGAGAUGGACCCGG